rnacentral:rRNA from 2 species
UGGGGAAUAUUGCACAAUGGGGGAAACCCUGAUGCAGCGACGCCGCGUGAACGAAGAAGGUAUUCGUAUCGUAAAGUUCUGUCCUAUGGGAAGAUAAUGACAGUACCAUAGAAGAAAGCUCCGGCUAAAUACGUGCCAGCAGCCGCGGUAAUACGUAUGGAGCGAGCGUUGUCCGGAAUUAUUGGGCGUAAAGGGUACGCAGGCGGUAUAAUAAGUCGAAUGUUAAAGAUCGGGGCUCAACCCCGUAAAGCAUUGGAAACUGAUAAACUUGAGUAGUGGAGAGGAAAGUGGAAUUCCUAGUGUAGUGGUGAAAUACGUAGAUAUUAGGAGGAAUACCAGUAGCGAAGGCGACUUUCUGGACACAAACUGACGCUGAGGUACGAAAGCGUGGGGAGCAAACAGG